rnacentral:misc_RNA from 1 species
UUUGCCCCAAAGAUUGAGCUGGCUCUUCUUGGUCACGACCCUUGGUUCCUGUGUUGCCUUCCCCAUCGUAUGGAAAAAUUCGUCAGGCAGCCCCGCACCUGUCCUCCUUGUGGCUUUGCGGCUGCAAUGCGGGCCUCGAAAGCAGUCCCCGUGUCCCGRACAUAUCCUCUGACUUUCGUCGUGGCUGUCUCGGUCCAYAGGACAACUGCUCGUGCUCCCGGAUGUGGAAAAUUAAGCGGACGUGGGGGGGUCUCNGCCUCCGGUUGCUCCAAUCAAGUCCCUCGAUAAGAAUGACUMUCGCUACCCCAUCGAUCRCAGGCCSUCCAGGCCCGUGGCAUCGAUGCGGGUCCGAAGUCGAUAAAGAAUGCUACCUGGUUGAUCCUG